rnacentral:rRNA from 1 species
UACGUAGGGGGCUAGCGUUGUCCGGAAUCAUUGGGCGUAAAGCGCGUGUAGGCGGUCCGGUAAGUCUGCUGUGAAAGUCGGGGGCUCAGCCUCGAAUGCCGGUGGAUACUGUCGGGCUAGAGUGCGGAAGAGGCGAGUGGAAUUCCUGGUGUAGCGGUGAAAUGCGCAGAUAUCAGGAGGAACACCGAUGGCGAAGGCAGGUCUCUGGGCAUUAACUGACGCUGAGGAGCGAAAGCAUGGGGAGCGAACAGG